GACGAACGCUGGCGGCGUGCUUAACACAUGCAAGUCGAACGGAAAGGCCCUGCUUUUGUGGGGUGCUCGAGUGGCGAACGGGUGAGUAACACGUGAGUAACCUGCCCUUGACUUUGGGAUAACUUCAGGAAACUGGGGCUAAUACCGGAUAGGAGCUCCUGCUGCAUGGUGGGGGUUGGAAAGUUUCGGCGGUUGGGGAUGGACUCGCGGCUUAUCAGCUUGUUGGUGGGGUAGUGGCUUACCAAGGCUUUGACGGGUAGCCGGCCUGAGAGGGUGACCGGCCACAUUGGGACUGAGAUACGGCGCAGACUCCUACGGGAGGCAGCAGUGGGGAAUAUGGCACAAUGGGCGGAAGCCUGAUGCAGCAACGCCGCGUGCGGGAUGACGGCCUUCGGGUUGUAAACCGCUUUCGCCGGUGACGAAGCGUGAGUGACGGUAAUGGGUAAAGAAGCACCGGCUAAAUACGUG
rnacentral:rRNA from 1 species